AUUAAAAAAAAGGGGGAAACCAAUCGUCGAGGGGGGAACCACCGACAUACAUACCCAAAGGUUCAUCUUACCAUAGAAAAGAACACUCUCUCCCCCUUCUGGACGGGGAAUUGCUGGCCGCUGCUUCCUUUCGGGAUUGCUAUCGACUUCCUUUCAUCCGACAGCCCUUUAUCUCUUUGUAACCCCUCCUCUCUCUUGGAUUUAGAAUUAAUUCUCUGACUCUCUGCAAACACUCAUGCGCACAAUAGGUCAUACAUUUAGAAUAAGAAGUAGAAAUUGAUUUGGUGUUCCUCCUUAUACAUUCACGUAUAUAUGUGUGUGUGUGCGCGCGCUUAUAUAUAGAAUGAAGUUGAAUGCUUAUUUUCCUUUCCAAAUGCACAGUUUUUCACUUUCAAAUUUAUAUUAUGAGAUAUUAAUUUAGAGAAGUUUAUAGCUUGGAGUUAUGUGUGUUUUUUUUAUAUACAUGAGGAAUAAUUGUAGAUCAUUUUUAGGAGACAUACACAGAUAUAUGUAUGUAGUUUAGGAAGCUACUGAUAAGUACAUAUGCAUAUGUAUAUAUUAAAUUGUUGCUAUGGAGGUAAUUCAUAGAAAUUAGGCGUGCAUAUAUAUAUGUGUGUGGGUGUUUGUGUAUAUUUAGGGAAAAUAGUAGUUAGUCAAGUUUUAUCUCUUAAUAUUUAAUUAUGAUAUUGUGAUAUAAGGUGAAAGUGCACCUCCUAAAAGUCCAGAAGGAAAGGAACAGGUACUUAAAUGUGCUUAAGAAUUUUGUAAAUGAUGAUUUGAGUGAGAUGGCUUAAUAUUAGAAAUUUAAAAUAUGAUGUAUCUCUAUAUGGACUAUAUGGGUUGACGGGAUGAUUGCCUUAUACGGGCUAUAUGCACCCGCUAUCGGGCUAUAUGAUUUGAGAAGAUGUUGCGAUCCUUGCCCUAUACGGGCUAUAUGGCGUGAUGCGAUGAAUCCUUCACCCUAUACGGGCUAUAUGUGCCUGCAAUCAGGCUAUACAGUAUGAUAUGUUGCCCUAUAUGGGCUAUAUAUGCCUGCCAUCAAGCUAUACGGUUUUGACAGAGUCCUAGGAGCGCUUCAUCCUCGUCACUAGCGCAUCUUUUGGUAUAUAUUUAUACAUAAUGGGACCUAGUUCUACUGUAGUAGUGUGGCAUGUAUAGUCCCUAGGAAAACUUCUUAACCUACUUUUGACGUUAUGUAUAAAUCAUGACAAAUUAUGGUUUUUGUUGUAAUAGACAAGUAUGGUAUGCUAUGAUAUUAUGUAGGUUUUAAUGUUA